AUUGAACGCUGGCGGCAGGCCUAACACAUGCAAGUCGAACGAGUGGCGGACGGGUGAGUAAUGUCUGGGAAACUGCAUGAUGGAGGGGGAUAACUACUGGAAACGGUAGCUAAUACCGCAUACCAUCAGAUGUGCCCAACUGGGGUUAGCUUGGUGGUGGGGUAACGUCUCACCAAGUCGACGAUCCCUAGCUGGUCUGCGAGGAUGACCAGCCACCCGGGAACUGCAACACGUCCCAGACUCCUACGGGAGGCAGCAGUGGGGAAUAUUGCACCAUGGGCGCAAGCCUGAUGCAGCCAUGCCGCGUGUAUGAAGAAGGCCUUCGGGUUGUAAAGUACUUUCAGCGGGGAGGCGUUACCCGCAGAAGAAGCACCGGCUAACUCCGUGCCAGCCGCCGCGGUAAUAC
rnacentral:rRNA from 1 species